rnacentral:rRNA from 1 species
CGCGCCCUACGGGGCGCAGCAGUAGGGAAUCUUCCACAAUGGGCGAAAGCCUGAUGGAGCAACGCCGCGUGAGUGAAGAAGGUCUUCGGAUCGUAAAACCCUGUUGUUAGAGAAGAAAGUGCGUGAGAGUAACUGUUCACGUUUCGACGGUAUCUAACCAGAAAGCCACGGCUAACUACGUGCCAGCAGCCGCGGUAAUACGUAGGAGGCAAGCGUUAUCCGGAUUUAUUGGGCGUAAAGAGAACGCAGGCGGUCUUUUAAGUCUGAUGUGAAAGCCUUCGGCUUAACCGGAGUAGUGCAUUGGG